AUUGAACGCUGGCGGAAUGCUUUACACAUGCAAGUCGAACGGCAGCACGGACUUCGGUCUGGUGGCGAGUGGCGAACGGGUGAGUAAUGUAUCGGAACGUGCCCAGUCGUGGGGGAUAACGUAGUGAAAAUUACGCUAAUACCGCAUACGAUCUAUGGAUGAAAGCGGGGGAUCGCAAGACCUCGCGCGAUUGGAGCGGCCGAUAUCAGAUUAGGUAGUUGGUGGGGUAAAGGCCCACCAAGCCAACGAUCUGUAGCUGGUCUGAGAGGACGACCAGCCACACUUGAACUGAGACACGGUCCAGACUCCAACGGGAGGCAGCAGUGGGAAAUUUUUGACAAUGGGCGAAAGCCUGAUCCAGCCAGUCCGCGUGCAGGAUGAAGGCCCUCGGGUUGUAAACUGCUUUUGUACAGAACGAAAAGGUUUCUACUAAUACUAGGAGCUCAUGACGGUACUGUAAGAAUAAGCACCGGCUAACUACGUGCCAGCCGCCGCUGUAA
rnacentral:rRNA from 1 species